rnacentral:rRNA from 1 species
CCUACGGGUCGCUGCAGUGGGGAAUAUUGCACAAUGGGCGCAAGCCUGAUGCAGCCAUGCCGCGUGUGUGAAGAAGGCCUCCGGGUUGUAAAGCACUUUCAGCGGGGAGGAAGGCGGUGAGGUUAAUAACCUCACCGAUUGACGUUACCCGCAGAAGAAGCACCGGCUAACUCCGUGCCAGCAGCCGCGGUAAUACGGAGGGUGCAAGCGUUAAUCGGAAUUACUGGGCGUAAAGCGCACGCAGGCGGUCUGUCAAGUCGGAUGUGAAAUCCCCGGGCUCAACCUGGGAACUGCAUUCGAAACUGGCAGGCUAGAGUCUUGUAGAGGGGGGUAGAAUUCCAGGUGUAGCGGUGAAAUGCGCAGAGAUCUGGAGGAAUACCGGUGGCGAAGGCGGCCCCCUGGACAAAGACUGACGCUCAGGUGCGAAAGCGUGGGGAGCAAACAGGAUUAGAUACCCGUGUAGUC